UGGUGCAGCGGCUGUCCCCGCCCUGAAAACCGAGUUUGGUGUCGAGCCACUCUGGAAUAUAUGGAGGCGCCGGAGGACCAGUGGAAGGUGUCAUCCAGAUGACAGCCUCACAAUUCGCAGCCUUUGUGCUCUCCAUCAGAAAACCAUCAGGGGCAAGCCACUUAUGUUUGCCUUCAGACAAGACAACAUUGAAGCAUGAUUCCAGCACAGCCAUCUCCUGCACUUAUGGUCAAGAUGCUCAGACAAUGGAGUCCCUGUUCCUUGUGGUUAACCGUGAACAGUAUUCUCGCUUUUAUGAAAGCUAAAGGUGAUUUCCUGCAUAAAUUAGGAUUUUGCAGCUCAAAUGUAUACACUUUAUUCUAGUUUGAAGUAACUAAUAUAUGCUGUUUAAUACUUUUAUACUGUUUGAUACAAUCAUUUCUUGUUGGAAAAUAUUA